CACAACCACGUACAUGUCGGCACUAUUUCAUUGGCGACUAGAAAUAUAUAUUAUAUGUGGUUUGCACGUCGUGUUCAGAGAGCUCAACAUUAACUUGAAUGCAUUUCCAAUAAUUUCCGAACCAUUUCUGGACCGCGUACAUUCGACACAUAUUCCAUUGACAAGGUAGGUCCAGUCAAAGCAAAACUCAUGAGUCAAAUUAAACAUUCAAUGACAUUAGCACUCACUCAAAGGAGUCCAUACACUUCAACAUCAAUGUAAUCAACUAGUGCAAAUUAAAUUUUUAGUUAUUAUACAUGUACAAGUUUCGCAUUAUACGUCAUGAUCAUUCUAGUUGAUGCGAUUUUUACAAUGCCCGGUCCAUUGCGUCUAUAAGAAUCGAUUUUCCGAUGCAUUUGGCAAUCACACUUCAACCUAGAUCACAAGGUUAAGCAUUAUGGCCUCCAACAACAACAAAAAAAUGGCGAAGGGGGGCAGUAGUAAGACGGUUACUCCACUGAAGAUUUAUUCGGCUUCGCCAACACCUAAUACUCGACAACAUGAUGCCACGAGUUCACGGGCUGCCACGGGGGGCAGUAGCAAGACAGUUACUCCACUAAGGAUUCAUUCGGCCUCGCCAACGCCUAAUACUCGACAACAUGAUGCCACGAGUUCACGAGCUGCCACGGGGGGCAGUAGCAAGACGGUUACUCCACUGAAGAUUCAUUCGGCUUCAACGACAUCUAAUACUCGACAACAUGAUGCGGCGAGUUCACGGGCUGCCACGGGGGGCAGUAGCAAGACGGUUACUCCACUGAAGAUUCAUUCGGCUUCGCCAACACCUAAUACUCGACAACAGGAAGCCUUGAAUGCACGGGCUGCCACGGCGAUGAGUAUGAAUCCUGUUACUCCAGUGACAUUGCGUAAUGCCGGUAAACAUGCAUCUUCAGCUAGUGGUAUGCCUGCGAGUGGAAGGAGACCAUCCACAACAGAGCAGCAGAAACAAAGUCAGGCAUCUUCUACUGAUCAACCCAGACGUCAAGCCCCAUCAUCAUCAGCGAGCAAUAGGAAUGGGCAAUCAUCAGCAAGCAGCAGUCAAAGGGGGCAUGCAGAGUCUCAUGGUGCCGGAAAACCGAAGUCUACAGGAACAAAAAACAAGUGAACUCUAUAGUAUCUUGCUUAUGGAUGGCAAGCUAUGAUGCGUGUAGCAGUUCAAUCGUCCGAUGUUCGAUCUCUAAAAUAAUACAAAUAAUAUGUGUAUUGUACUCUCUUAUAAAUUGGUUGUAAUUUAGUCGGUACGCAAGUGGAACUAAGAGAAAUAUAUGAAUCUGUUACGUGUAGUGGUUUGUAAUUGCCUCUCGAUGGAUUUGCAUGCUGCCCCUAGUCCCUAUUUAUGUAGUGUGUAUUGAGUUCACAUGUAUUUGGGAUUUGGGGUUGUACUAAAAAGUAUUUCAGAGUGUGUAACUCACAAAAAUAGUUCAUUUAUCUUAAAGUAUUUACCAUGGAUGUUGAUGAACGAAAGGUGCUCUACCAUAUAUGUUGUUGCUCCCAAUACUUGCGCGCAGAGCACAACCAGGCUUGCUACAACAAACGAGCACAUGCAGCACACGUCGCACUGGCAAGUACGAAGAAAGGCUCCUGCCCUAGCGGUGAACCUCACCUCCAACACGACGUCAUGAACGCGCAUGGCAGAGCGCUGGCCAGCCCAACUGUAGGUAAGUUUGAUUCUCCAGUUUCGGUGGUAAGUGCCUUCGGUAGCGAAAAAUGCCAAACGGAGACCGAGCUCCAUGGAGGCCUUGAUUUGAAAACUUCAACAUUCAUACUUUUCAGUUUCAAAAAAUUCUGAAAGAAUACACGUUUACC
rnacentral:rRNA from 1 species